GCUGACCUGGGGCAGAGGGUUUGGGGUACAGGUUCUGGCUGGGCGGCAGGGUGUGGGGGGAGGUGCCGACCCGGGG